GGCCUGAAUAAUGACAUGUAAUUGCAAAAUCUCUGUUCAACUGUGAAAAUGUAGAUGGGGUAACUCUCUGAUGGACCCAUACAAAGAGUGAGGGUGACUCCUGCUAAGCGGGGUCUCAAUGGACAGACUAUGAAGUUUUCUUCAUUUCUAUUAUGGUGAAGAAAAGAGAAAGACCCUUUUUUUCAGCCUGUAGGUGCAUCAGCACAGUGUUUGAUUUUUUAGUUGCCCCUGGUCCACCUGUACUUUGUGCAUGAAUUUAAGUUAAUUCCUGGACUUUCAGCCAGCUCAUCCUCCCCAGCGUGCAGCCCUAAAGGUGUCUCCAAGAGUUCCUUCUCAAGUCUUCUCUUGACUCCACAAAACCUGGCCCUCUCCACCCUAUUCAUUUCUUUCUUUCCAGCCAACCUUCAUGCUUUCAUACCCCUACGCUCCAUCUCAAACUGGGAUGGGGUUACUUAAAGCCCUUGUGUUUCUUGCCAAAGAAAGAGGAACUGAUAUCGCUGACCUGAGAUCUGUCACUGACUAUGGACAGCACUCGAUGGGUCAUUUUGUAGUCUAAGGUGUAGCUUCUGUGGCUGGGAACCAUGCUGCUAAUUGCUUUUAUUUAUUGAUUUAUUUUUAAGUGCCCUGACUGAGAUCUAGUGAGAAGCACUGUGUACAAAUGAUGUGAAAUCUGUUCUGCUGCCUUCCUUUGCAGGGAUGACAUAGGAGCAAGGCAGUAAAGAGGCAGCAUUGAAAUCUUGUUGGUUCCUCUUCCAUCUUGACUCCUAUUGCUCAUGGUGCUGAACUGGGCUGAUUUAGCAGAACUCAGCGUGUGAAUGGAGAACUGAUCUUUCACUCUCACUUCACUUAAAAUCCAUUAUUAAUGGUCUAUGGAAUAUAUGGAGUCAUCAUUCAUGGAGGUGUUUAAGAACUUGUUAAAUUAACAAUGAAAAUGCUUCAGAACCUCAAAAGUACUUUGAUACACUCUGCCUCCUUGAACACCUGUCAGUUAACAAAAAGACCUGAGAACUUAAAUGUCCAGCAUUGCUGGUAAGUAAAGUCUGCAGUACCCAAAACUUAUUAGGAGAAGCCCUGCAGGUUCAUCCUGGGGUGUUCAGUGUCUUCUCCUGCCCCCUGCACAUCCCAUGCAGAAGGCUUUUCUUCCGUCACAGAUGAAACUGUCCCAUCCUUGUGAAUGGGGACCUGAUGUAUCAUACUCAAGUUCCUGGCUUUAAUGGCCAAUGACAAAUUUGGAACCUGGCUUGUUACCUUGUGACAUAUUAUCUAACCACCUUUGGGAGCUGCUUACCUGCAAUGAGUUUUCUCAAGCUCUGUCUGACCUGAGGAACCAAAUCUCAGGCUCAAACAUCAUGAUUUGGACAAAACACAGGAUACAGGGCUUCAAUCAAGGCUUUUAUGGUCCUUCCAUGGGAGGAGGCACCUCAGCCCCAGGAGUUCACCCCCACAUUUGGUACUGCAAUGCCCACAUCCCAUCUGAAGGUGUUUUCAGUGCUUUGAUAGACUGCAGUUGUGAAAACUGGUCGUUCCACUUUUCAAGUGUUAAUGGUUAUAAUGUGAACGGUGUUGCAGCUGGAACUAUAAUAGACUCAUAAGAAUUUUUUAGUUUCAUUUUUUAACAGAUUUGGGGGUUGAGUGGGUACUACAUUAUGCCAUUAUUACAGCUUCAGUAUUAUUGUUUUUCUUUAACUGGCAUUGUUUAUUAUGCAUGCAUUGAAGCACAAAUGUGGAACAAAUGAAUCUGAUAUCAAAUUAAUGCUGCGAUCAGGUUUCCCCCCCUUCCCUCUUUAGUUGCCAUAACAAUCUGUGAUCUUGAAGCAACGAUAAAAUUAGAAUUGCAUUAAAGGUGUUUACACCGUGUUCA